GACGAACGCUGGCGGCGUGCUUAACACAUGCAAGUCGAACGGUGAAGCGCCUUCCUUUUUGGUGGGUGUGGAUGAGUGGCGAACGGGUGAGUAACACGUGAGUAACCUGCCCCCUUCUUCUGGAUAACCGCAUGAAAGUGUGGCUAAUACGGGAUAUUCUGGGUCUGUCGCAUGAUGGGUCUGGGAAAGAUAUUGUUUCGGUGGGGGAUGGGGUCGCGGCCUAUCAGCUUGUUGGUGGGGUGAUGGCCUACCAAGGCGGUGACGGGUAGCCGGCCUGAGAGGGUGGACGGCCACACUGGGACUGAGACACGGCCCAGACUCCUAGGGGAGGCAGCAGGGGGGAUUAUUGCACAAUGGGCGCAAGGCUGAUGCAGCGACGCCGCGUGAGGGAUGGAGGCCUUCGGGUUGUGAACCUCUUUCGCCAGUGAAGCAGGCCUGCCUCGUUUGUGGGUGGGUUGACGGUAGCUGGAGAAGAAGCGCCGGCUAACUACGUG
rnacentral:rRNA from 1 species